GAGUUUGAUCCUGGCUCAGAACGAACGCUGGCGGCAGGCUUAACACAUGCAAGUCGAACGGGAUGGUUCCUUCGGGAACCGGCGAGUGGCGCACGGGUGAGUAACGCGUGGGGAUCUGCCUCGAAGUGGGGAAUAACCGCUGGAAACGGCGGCUAAUACCGCAUACGCCCUUAGGGGGAAAGCUUUAUGCGCUUUGAGAUGAACCCGCGUAGGAUUAGCUUGUUGGUGAGGUAAAAGCUCACCAAGGCACCGAUCCUUAGCUGGUCUGAGAGGAUGAUCAGCCACACUGGGACUGAGACACGGCCCAGACUCCUACGGGAGGCAGCAGUGGGGAAUAUUGGACAAUGGGCGCAAGCCUGAUCCAGCCAUGCCGCGUGAAUGAAGAAGGCCUUAGGGUUGUAAAGUUCUUUCAGUCGCGAAGAUGAUGACGGUAGCGACAGAAGAAGCCCCGGCUAACUCCGUGCCAGCAGCCGCAGUAAUACGGAGGGGGCAAGCGUUGUUCGGAAUUACUGGGCGUAAAGGGCGCGCAGGCGGUUUCGUCAGUCAGAUGUGAAAGCCCCGGGCUUAACCUGGGAACUGCAUUUGAUACUGCGAGACUAGAGUUCGGGAGAGGGUAGUGGAAUUCCCAGUGUAGAGGUGAAAU
rnacentral:rRNA from 1 species